UCGAGAAUAAUUCGCAAUGGACGAAAGUCUGACGAUGCGACGCCGCGUGAACGAUGAAGGCUUUCGGGUUGUAAAGUUCUGUCGCCUUGGAGCAAGAGUAGGAGGGUAAUAUCCUCUUACAAUGAGAGUACAAGGAAAGGAAGCACCGGCUAAUUCCGUGCCAGCAGCUGCGGUAAUACGGAAGGUGCAAGCGUUAGUCGGAAUUAUUGGGCGUAAAGGGUGCGUAGGCGGCGUUUUAAGUUGGAUGUGAAAUUCUGUGGGCUCAACCCCAGACCUAUAUCCAAAACUGGAAUGCUCGAGGAACGGCGGAGAAAACGGAAUUCCAUGUGUAGCGGUGAAAUGCGUAGAUAUAUGGAAGAACACCUGUGGCGAAAGCGGUUUUCUAGCUUAAUCCUGACGCUAAGGCACGAAAGCAAGGGGAGCAAACAGG
rnacentral:rRNA from 1 species